rnacentral:rRNA from 1 species
AGCGAACGCUGGCGGCAGGCUUAACACAUGCAAGUCGAGCGGGCAUAGCAAUAUGUCAGCGGCAGACGGGUGAGUAACGCGUGGGAACGUACCUUUUGGUUCGGAACAACACAGGGAAACUUGUGCUAAUACCGGAUAAGCCCUUACGGGGAAAGAUUUAUCGCCGAAAGAUCGGCCCGCGUCUGAUUAGCUAGUUGGUGAGAUAAUGGCUCACCAAGGCGACGAUCAGUAGCUGGUCUGAGAGGAUGAUCAGCCACAUUGGGACUGAGACACGGCCCAAACUCCUACGGGAGGCAGCAGUGGGGAAUAUUGGACAAUGGGCGCAAGCCUGAUCCAGCCAUGCCGCGUGAGUGAUGUAGGCCCUAGGGUUGUAAAGCUCUUUUGUGCGGGAAGAUAAUGACGGUACCGCAAGAAUAAGCCCCGGCUAACUUCGUGCCAGCAGCCGCAGUAA